rnacentral:lncRNA from 1 species
AUGAAUCUCUUUAGCCCCAGAAUGAAGUUAGAGGAACGGUGUCUCAUGUAUUAUAUAUCUUCACCAUUCACUAGGCACUUACUAUGCAUCAGAAGUCGGGAGGGCCUGGAAAUACAAAGACAGACAAGCUCCAGGAUCCAAGAAACUCAGAAUGAGAAAGGAGAAGAGGAAAGAGGAGGAAAGCAUUGCCAGAACAAACACAAUAAAAUAUUAGAAGUGUUUUAGCAGAGCCACAUGUAAAACCGUGUGAGCAUGCAGACAAGGAGGCAAUUUUUCACUACAGUUUUUAACUUUGUAUAUGGCAUUUUACAUUGAAUUUUUAGGUGUAUAUUCCCAUAUACCUCCAGUAAGUUAGUGAGUUAGUCACUUUUGAUUUGUACUACCAGUAGUUUUCACGAGUUGUAUCAAGUAAUCUACAUAGGUAUUCAAUUAGUCUUCCUUGAGAAGAAGAUUAGAGCUCUAAAACGGGACGGCAGGCUGGGGCAAAUGGAAGUUUCUUUUUGAAAAACACAGUCUCUAUUUAUGCAAUUAAAUUAAGUCAUGAUUUUCACACCUCCCAAACUAGAUGUACCAGUCUUCUCCUUUGUUCCUCUAUUUUUCUGUUCCUCUCUCCCAAUGAAUCAGUUGUGGACUUUCACCAGUUCUGCCUCAGAAAUGCCUCCUUCAUCUCCGUAUGUCCUCUCCCUCCCCACAGCCACUGCCUCAGUCCAGACUCAAACAAUGUUUUCCUGCCUCCCUCCUCUUUGU